rnacentral:ncRNA from 1 species
GCAGUUUCACUCCACUCUAUGGGCUGCGCAAAGAAAAAAGGAGGUAUGUCCCGGCCGCGUGGCUCGCGGUGCGGCAGUGUGGAGACCUGUCGUAAUGCGUCACGCCCCCUUGCGGGCGGAUGCGAGGCAGAUGCGGGUGGGCCGCUUUGCCAGAGCUGAGAGUAUG